CGCCGUGCGCCCGCACUCCUCAGCCCUUGGGAGGUAGAUGGGACUGGGCGCCGUGGAGCAGGGGGCGGCGCUCGUCGGGGAGGCUCGGGUCGCACAGGAGCCCAUGGAGGUGGGGGGAGGCUCAGGCACGGCUGGGCUGCAGGUCCGGAGCCCUGCCCCGCGGGAAGGCAGCUAAGGACGGGCGAGAAAUUAAGCACAGCAGCUGCUGGCCCAGGUGCUAAGCCCCUCACUGCCUGGGGCUGGCGGGGCCGGCAGGCCGCUCCGAGUGCGGGCCCGCCGAGCCUACGCCCACCCGGAACUCGCGCUGGCCCGGAAGCACCGCGCGCAGCCCCGGUUCCGGCCCGCGCCUCUCCCUCCACACCUCCCCACAAGCUGAGGGAGCCGGCUGCGGCCUUCGCCAGCCCAGAAAGGGGCUCCUACAGUGCAGUGGCGGGCUGAAGGGCUGCUCAAGCGCCGCCAAAGUGGGAGCCCAGGCAGAGGAGGCGCCCAGAGCGAGCGAGGGCUGUGAGGACUGCCAGCACGCUGUCACCUCUCACUCAUAUAGAUUGCCAAUCUAUUUGUGAACCAGGUUUGCUGGAGUUUGGAUUUACUACUGAGUCAUAUUUGGAGCAUGCUGGAAUCUUACAACUGAGAUUACCGAGUCAGAAACUUGCAAACAUGAGUAACAUGGCCCUGCUCUGGAGACUACUGGGAACACAAACACAGCCAUUUAAGACAUCUACCUGCUUCUCCUUUGCCUUCCAUCAUGACUGAAAGUUGUCUGAGGUCUCCCAGCCACGUGUCCUGUACAGCCUGUGGAACUGUCACACUGAAUUUGGACACUGGAGAAGAGAAAGGAGAAGGCCAUUCUGGCUACCCUAGGACUCAGAGACGACUUUAAAGAAGAAUCAGAAAAUGGAGACUGGGAUUGGAAGCAGAGAUCCGAUGGCCAAAUUACAGUCUGCCACUGAAGCUAACACACCUAUGGAUAACCCAACCUGUAAACUCAAUGUGGAACACAGUUUGAGAAAAGAAGUGAGAAGAUUCAAUUUUGAAGUUGGAUCACUCUCCUACAGGCAAUGAAGACCACAUCACUGAUGGCUCUCCUGCAAUUCUAUUACCUGUUUGAAUGUGAAGAUGGGAUGAAGUAGCAAGAAGGACCUCACAAAAUACCUCCCCCACCACCCCAUCAUCUUGCACUUUCCAGUCUGCAGAACUGUGAGAAAGAAAUUUUUAAAAUUAUUAUUAUACUUUAAGUUAUAGGGUACAUGUGCACAAUGUGCAGGUUUGUUACAUAGGUGUACAUGUGCCAUGUUGGUUUGCUGCGUCCAUCAACUCGUCAUUUACAUUAGGUAUUUCUCCUAAUGCUAUCCCUCCCCCAGUCCCCCAGCCCCUGAUAUGCCCCAGUGUGUGAUGUUCCCCUCCCUGUGUCCAUGUGUUCUCAUUCAACUCCCACCUAUGAGUGAGAACACACGGUGUUUGGUUUUCUGCCCUUGUGACAUUUUGCAGAGGAUGAUGGUUUCCAGCUUCAUCCAUGUCCCUGCAUAGGACAUGAACUCCUUUUUUAUGGCUGCAUAUAUUCCACGGUGUAUAUGUGCCACAUUUUCUUAAUCCAGUCUAUCAUUGAUGGACAUUUGGGUUGGUUCCAAGUCUUUGCUAUUGUGAAUAAUGCCACAAUAAACAUAUAUG
rnacentral:lncRNA from 10 species